CUACGGGUGGCUGCAGUCGAGAAUCAUUCGCAAUGCGCGAAAGCGUGACGAUGCGACGCUGCGUGGAGGAUGACGGCCUUAGGGUUGUAAACUCCUGUCAUGAGGGAAAAGUUGUCCUGUGAUUAAUACCCACGGGAUUCGAUGGUACCUCAAGAGGAAGCCACGGGUAACUCUGUGCCAGCAGCCGCGGUAAUACAGAGGUGGCGAGCGUUGUUCGGAUUUACUGGGCGUAAAGGGUGCGUAGGCGGUUUGGUAAGUCGGGUGUGAAAUCCCAGGGCUCAACUCUGGAAUUGCAUUCGAUACUGCCGAGCUAGAGUACAGGAGGGGAGAGCGGAAUUCUUGGUGUAGCGGUGAAAUGCGUUGAUAUCAAGAAGAACACCGGUGGCGAAGGCGGCUCUCUGGAAUGUUACUGACGCUGAGGCACGAAAGCUGGGGGAGCAAACAGGAUUAGAUACCCGCGUAGUC
rnacentral:rRNA from 1 species